AUACUCUAUAUCGAUUCCCCUUUGACUGAUUAAAAAAUGUUGUUCCUGUUUGGAUACUUCCCUUGUAAGGCUGUUUCAAAAUUAUUUCAUCUUAAAGACAUGCUUAUAAAACCAAAAAGCUCAAUAACUCGUACCAUUUCAUCCACGUUUUCUCGUAAAAUUUUCUCUACAUCGUUUAAGACCUUGUCUUAACAUUCUCUUUUCGUUUGCUUUACUGCCAAAAAUACGAUAAAGAUAAUAUAAAUACAAAUUCAAACAUCAACAACUCGAGAAAAAAAUACUGACUCGACUGUACAAUGUGUUGGUAGCAAGGCCACCAUCCCAUACACUCGAGCCGGCCGGCAUAGUCGCCGGUCUGCGUAUCACACCCAGACCGCAUGACUUAUCAGCCGGUGCAGGCGCACGGGUGCAAGGAUGUUAAUUAUUUGCGAAUUUACAUUGCUACAAAAUGCAAUAAAAAAUUACUGUUAGUACGUGACAUUGUAAGUAUGUAUUUAUUUCUGCGCAGUAUUUCGUUGAAGGUCGCGAGUCAUAAAUACAUAGAGUAUCCGCGGAACCGGACAUAAUUUCGUCGCAGCAUUAUUCCUUCAGACGUAGAUUUAUCAAAAUUUACACAAUAACAACGUGUUGAGAAUUUCUUCUUUCGAUUACCUACUUUCAUCGCGAGAUUUUUUAAUUUUUAUUUCAUUUGAAUUGAAUUUAAAAAAGUGAAAAAUGAAUAAAUUAUUCGCACUUCUUCUGAUUUCAAUCGUACUUGUUUCAUUUUUAUCUCAAGAUGCGGAAGCCGGAGCACUUACCUACGGAGCCUGUCAGACAGGCUGUAAUAAGGUGGCAGUCGCAUGUUACACGGCGGGUGGCGGUAUCUUCGGUACACUUACACUCGGACUCGGAGUACCUGCAGCUCUUGUAGGAUGCUCGGUGGCACAAGGAUCUUGCAUGGCAGGAUGUGCCGUACUGUUACCUUGAAAAAAAUAUAUGUGGUGAAUAUAAGACAUUUCUGAUAAAAACUUGUAAAAAGCAUUUUUUUUAAUCUAUUUUUUUCUACUUUAUAUUAUUAUUUUACGGCAGAUAUCUUGAUAUUAUUUAUCGUCAGUAGGUACUAAAGUUUAAAAUAAUGAAUAUUUUUAUGUUUAUUUUGGUAAUAUAACGUAAUAACGUUAAUAAAAUAUUCCUGUAUUUUUA